AUUGAACGCUGGCGGCAGGCCUAACACAUGCAAGUCGAGCGGAUGAAGAGAGCUUGCUCUCUGAUUCAGCGGCGGACGGGUGAGUAAUGCCUAGGGAUCUGCCUGGUAGUGGGGGACAACGUUUCGAAAGGAACGCUAAUACCGCAUACGUCCUACGGGAGAAAGUGGGGGAUCUUCGGACCUCACGCUAUCAGAUGAGCCUAGGUACGAUUAGCUAGUUGGUGAGGUAAAGGCUCACCAAGGCGACGAUCGUUAACUGGUCUGAGAGGAUGAUCAGUCACACUGGAACUGAGACACGGUCCAGACUCCUACGGGAGGCAGCAGUGGGGAAUAUUGGACAAUGGGCGAAAGCCUGAUCCAGCCAUGCCGCGUGUGUGAAGAAGGUCUUCGGAUUGUAAAGCACUUUAAGUUGGGAGGAAGGGCAGUAAGUUAAUACCUUGCUGUUUUGACGUUACCGACAGAAUAAGCACCGGCUAACUUCGUGCCAGCCGCCGCGGUAAGAC
rnacentral:rRNA from 1 species